rnacentral:rRNA from 1 species
AACGAACGCUGGCGGCAUGCCUAACACAUGCAAGUCGAACGAGUCCUUCGGGUCUAGUGGCGCACGGGUGCGUAACGCGUGGGAACCUGCCCUUAGGUUCGGAAUAACUCCCCGAAAGGGGUGCUAAUACCGGAUAAUGUCUUCGGACCAAAGAUUUAUCGCCUGUGGAUGGGCCCGCGUUGGAUUAGCUAGUUGGUAGGGUAAAAGCCUACCAAGGCGACGAUCCAUAGCUGGUCUGAGAGGAUGAUCAGCCACACUGGGACUGAGACACGGCCCAGACUCCUACGGGAGGCAGCAGUGGGGAAUAUUGGACAAUGGGCGAAAGCCUGAUCCAGCAAUGCCGCGUGAGUGAUGAAGGCCUUAGGGUUGUAAAGCUCUUUUACCCGGGAUGAUAAUGACAGUACCGGGAGAAUAAGCUCCGGCUAACUCCGUG